rnacentral:lncRNA from 1 species
UUUAAACAUUUUUUAAAACUUUUUUAUUGAAGUUAUAGUUGGGGUACAAUAUUAUGUAAGUUAUAGGUGUACAAUAUAGAGAAUCAUAAUAUGGGAGCAGUUUUAAAGUCACUAUAACAUUAAAGUCACUAUAAUGGAGAUAAAACAGAAAUUUUAGGAAAGUAGCAUAAAAGGAUAAAGAUAAUAAAAAUUGAAGAGAAAUGAAAAUUGGAGCAUCAAUAUAGGCGGUCAAACAUCUGAAUAUUAGGAGUUCCAAAGGGAAAUCGUGGAGGGGAAGAUUGUAUUAAAUAGUUUUCAAAAAUUCCCAGAAUUGUGGAAAAUUUUCCAGAUUAAAAAGCAUGGGAGACAUUUUCUAAAGACCCCUGCAACAGCUCCCAUUUCACAGGCUCUUCUACAAUGUGGUCUUAGCACUCAUCCCCAUUGAGAAACAGGACCUCUGUCCCAUCCCUGGAAUCUAUAACCAGAUGCGUGAAACCAAUUCAGUGCAGUGGAAGUAAUCCUGCACAGAUUCCAAAGCUGGGCUUGCAUUUUGCUCACUAGAGUACCUGCACCUAAAGCCCUGAGACGCCACGUGAGAAGUCCUAUCUGAGGCCACCUUGCUGUAAGGAAGCCAAGACACGUAGUGAAGACACACAUAGAUACUCAGGUUGAAAGCCCCAGCUGAGCCUUUAGCUACAUCACCAGCCAACUUUGUAAGUGAGCUAUCUUGGACAUCCAUCCCGUCUAGUCAAGACUUUAGAUAACCACAGUCCCAGCUAAUACCUGUCUGAAGCUGCAUGAGAAUGCCCAAGAGAAAGCUGCCCAGCCUACCCUUCCCAAAUUUAAGCUAUAGUUGGUUUUUUGGUUGGUUGGUUGGUUGGUUGGUUACACAGCAAUAACUACAGGAAAAAAGCGCUACUGUCUGCCCAGCACAAUAAAUAGGGACUAGGGGAGGGGACCAAUACAUCAGGCAGGUUGUUGAGAAAUUUGAGACGACCAGGGAUAGGGAUGAUCUUAAAAACUUCCAGCAACAGAAAACGAACAAAAAUACAGGGGAAAGAGUUCCAAUUUAAAAUUCUAUUUCCAUUCAAAUGAGGCAUCUAAUAUAAGGGUAGAAAUAAAGACAUGUUAGAUAAGCAAGCUCAGAAGGCUGCUGAAAGAUGAGCUCCAUCAAAAUGAGAAAGCAAACCAAGGCAGAAAAAAAUAAUGUAACUCGGAAUCCACGAAAUAUCCAAGCUGUAUCACAAAGAUGGUUUCCCAGAGGGUCAUGAACAAAAGAAAAUGAACCCAGCACAUCCCCUGACGCACAUGACAAUACUGAGUGGAGCUUGACACUUGGUGAGGAGAGGUCUGGGUUAAGCAGGGCAGGGAACACAGAAAACCGAACAAGUGAAAAACAAGGCAAUUGACUCCAGGAAAAACAGAGAGGUGUGCCUAAAGGAUAUGUAAUCAUAAAUCAGUCCAGGGGGGUUCCCGUUGUGGCUCAGCAGGUUAAGAACCUGAUGUUGUCUUUGUGAGGAUGCAGGUUCAAUCCCUGGCCUUGUUCAGUGGGUUAAGGAUCCAGUGUUGCCGUAAGCUAUUGCAUAGGUCACAGAUGUAGCAACGCUGGAUCCUUUAACCCACUUUGCUGAGCUAGGAAUUGAACUUGUACCUCCAUAGCAACCUAAGCCACUGCAGUCAGAUUCAUAACCCACUAUACCACAGUGGGAGCUCCUAAGUCUUUAUUGAUAAACAUGAAGUUAAUCACUGGAGAAAUCCCUGUAAAAGCUGAUCAGUGUUUGUUCUGGGGAGGUAGGGUUGGGCCUGCAGACUUGGUGGUACAAGGAUGAGGAAGUUCUGCUCCUAGUACUUCUUUUUUUCCCUCGGUGAAAACAUUUCUCUAGGAAUGAUGGAGAUUUGAAGAGAAUGAGAUAUGAAAGAGGCUUCUCAGAGAAUCUAGGGGAUGUAGGACACAGUAGGGAGAUCCUGAGUGCCAACUUGCACACAUGACCCAGCAUCACCACGUCUCUGAACACCUCUCUCUCUGUACAUGGCUCAGCUGCCUCUCCCACACCAGCUGUCGCAGACUCAGGUCAAGAUCAGACCCUUCCCCUUCACUGGACGGCUGUGGCAACGCCCUCUCCAGAUUCAGGCCUUGUCUUGCUGACGUUCCCCACAUGCAAUUUUUAAAAUAAAAUGUGCCCAGAUCUCCUCCUCCAUCC